rnacentral:misc_RNA from 1 species
GAAAACUUGAGACAUCGGCCACAACUACAGGUUUGUUGCGAUUAAACACACUAGCAGGAUCUAUCGAUACAUCAGUAGGGUCUGUCGUAGUUGUUGUACCGGCAUUUGUUGUAGCAGCUUUGUUAUCAUUUUCAAAUUUUCUAACUUCAGAUGCUGGAUAAAUGUAUGUUGAUGGCACUUCAACUAAUGAGUUAUCAGCAGCACCACCAUCGUGGUCGAACGUUAACUCACUUGCAUCAUACUUAUCUCCCACAUCUCCUGCAAAUAUAUAUUUUAAAUCUGGAAAAUCGUUAAGCCUAUAAACACCGCGUGCCUUAAACGGUUGCAAUACCGAAAAUAUCACUGGAG